rnacentral:tRNA from 1 species
CAUUAGAAAACUGAAAGUUAGUACUGGUCUCUUAAACCAUUAAAUGGUAACUUACGCCUACCUCUAAUGG